rnacentral:lncRNA from 1 species
CCAUUUCUUGGGCUGCUCCCGCAGCAUAUGGAGAUUCCCAGGCUAGGGGUCAAAGCGGAGCUGUAGCCACCAGCCUACGCCAGAGCCACAGCAACACAGGAUCCAAUCCUCGUCCGCCAGAUCCUUAACCCACUGAGCAAGGCCAGGGGUAGAACCCGCAACCUCGUGGUUCCUAGUCAGAUUCGUUAACCACUGAGCCAAAAUCUCAAUCUUCUUGAACAGUUCUAGAUCAUAGAAAAAGGACAGCUUUAAGAUUAUUGUUAUAAAACUAUAAUACGAAAAACUAUGAUACUAAAAACCAUCAUGAUCACAUAAAGAAUUAUAAAGUACACACACUUAUGACUAUAGAGGCAAAACUCUAAAUAAAAUAUUAGCAGAUACAUUCCAUCAGGAAUUCAAUUCGAUCCACUAUAAAAAAAUCUUAUAACUCAUAGUAGUUGACUGAAAGAGAAAUAUCUUGUUAUUGUCUCCAUAAAUGCUGAAAAAUAACUUAAUAAAUUCCACAUCCAGUCUUAAUAAAAAAUGAAAGUUCAGAUUUUAAAAUAGGGAUAAAUGGAUUCUUCCUAAACAUGGUAACGUUGGUCAGGACACUGAUCAAAAGGAAAAUGUUUAAAAAUAUUUAUUUAGGAAUAAGACAAAGACCCUUCACUAUCACUAAUAGUACAUGACAACAGAAUGAACAAAAAAAAAUAUGUAAUCAGCAUAAAUACUGGGCAGGAAACAGAAAAAAAUGAUCACUUUUUAGAUAAUAUAUACAUGUAGAAAAUUCCAGAGAUUCACCUAAGAAAACUAUUCUAACUAAUAAGACAAGUUGGUGUAGUCACAGGGGAAAAAUUAAUGUACAUAAAUUAAUUGCCUGCAUGUACAUAAACAACCACCAGUUACAAGAUAUAAAAUAGAGUAAAAUGCCCCAUAUUUAAUAAUAGCAUAACAAUAACACCUGAGAGAAUAAUUAAUGAAGAAAAUACAAAAUCUUUAUGAGAGUACUUCAUCAUAUAAAAGAUAAAAAUAAGGAAAACAAAACAAAUGGAAAGAAGGAUUCAAGAAAAGUUAAAUCAUGUACUUGUAAAACAAACAAAUUAGUGAAUAUAAUAUAAAAGAAACAGACUUGUAACAGAGAAAAACAAAUGACUCCCUUUUGAAUUUAUUCUUUUAGCUCUAACCUUUGUGCUCUGUUGUUUGUGUUGUCAUGCUGACUUACACCUCUGUAAAGAAAUAAAUGUUUCCUAUAUCCUGUAAUAUACAGGGGAGCCCAUUCUCAAGCCUCAGAUCUUUAAAGGUGUACCACCUUCCCAUUCAUAUAGAGGUAAAAAGUUGCAGAACAGGAAAAAUAACAAUUGUCUUGGAAGUUUACAGGAAAUGUGUGACUAGACCCAUGUGGACAGCUGCAAGAACAAAGGACAAAGGAUUCCAGUACCAAGAAGUUUGCAAUAAUAAGCCACACCCCCUCCUCUUUUACUGUAAAAGAAGCCUGAAUUCCAACUUAAGUAAGAUGGUGCUUUAGGACAAUAGUCCACCAUCUUUUUGGUCUUCUUGUUUUCCAAAUAAAGUUGCUAUUCCUUGCCCCAUUACCUCAUCUCUUGAUUUACUGGCCUGUUGUGCCGCUCCUGGGUGGUAUAAGCUUGGGUAACAGAUUCACAGAUAGAGAACAAACAAGUAGUUACCUUUGGGGGGGAAGGAAGUGAGGAGGGGCAAAGUAGGGGAUUAAGAGGUAAAAACUAGUAUGUAUAUAAUAGUCUAUAAGGAUAUACUGUACAACACAGGCCAUAUGACCAGUAUUUUAUAAUAACUAAAUGGAAUGUAGCCUUAAAAAUUGUGAAUCACUAUGUUGUACACCUAAAACUUAUUUAAUAUUGUACAGUGACUAUACCCAAUUUAAAAAAAUCAUAAGCUUGUGUCAGAAGAUCUCUCAUCACGUAUAUGAAGCCUCCCUAAAUUAAUAAUUCAACACCAUCUCAAUAACAAAUGGCACCAUGAUUCUUUUGGAAAGUGAACACAGUGUUUACGAUGUGCCUUUAAAAAUAAAAAAGUAAGACUAGCCAAAUGCUGAAAUGUAUUAUGACCCUACCAGGUAUCAAAACACACUAUAAAGAUGCUAUAAUUAACACAGUGCGGUGAUGUAGGAUGGCAAUGCAGGCGCAGACAGAACAAUGGAAGAGGACUAACAGUCCAGAUGUAGAUACAGAGGUACAAGGUAGUGUAGGAGAUGCUGAAAGUGGCCUCUUAAAUCAGUGAACUAUUCAACAAAUGGUAUUUGAAAAACUAAAUGGCCGUCUAGAAAAAAAUAUGAACUCUUAUUUCUAUUUCAUAUGGAUCACAAAAAUAAAUGCCAGGCUGAUGACAGAUUUAAGUGAAUAAAAUAUCAAGUCAUAAAAACAGGAGAAACAAAUGGGAGAAUUUUUUAAAUGUCAGAGUGGAGUACUUUUUUUUUUUUUUCUGUCUUUUUUCUUUUUAGGGCCGUACCCUCGACAUAUGGAGGCUCCCAGGAUAGGGGUCGAAUUGGAGCUGUAGCUGCCGGCCUACAUCAUGGCCACAGCAACGCGCAAUCUUUAACCCACUGAGCAAGGUGGGGGAUUGAACCCACAACCUCAUGGUUCCUAGUCAGAUUCAUUCUGACGGGAGCUCCCAAGAGUGGAGUACUUUAAAUUCAACCUUUAGAUCAAAUUGUAUCAGCAGAUGUCAUGUUCCAUACUUAGAGCAAGUCGCUUAGUCCUGCCAGAGUCCAUAUUAAUGUAGCUGUAAAAUGUUGUUAUGGAGACUGUCUACUGCAACCCUUGCUGGAUCCCCUCAUGUGACAUGUCCUUCUAGGCUUUUCCUUCUAAG